GAUCAUGCCAGACUUUCAGCAUCAUACCAGAGCUACGUACGAUAUAUGAUAUUUCUUUUCAUCUAAAUUAAAGGGGAAUUGCCAAGAAGUCUAAUUUCCCUUUUAAUUUUCUUCACUCCCUUUGUCAGGCUGCCUUCUCGUCCGGCUGCACCUCAGCGUUGGUACUAGCUUUUGGCCUCACUGCCUCACGAUGAGUGCAGUCAGACGCGAUCUUGUUUUCUUCUGCUUGUCUGAUGCACAGAGGCUAGGGUCGGGGGUUUGUGUUUCUCUUCUCCCGUAGUUGAAAAGGGAGGCUGCAUCACGGGAAGAUCUAAGCUGGAUAGAUGGGCGGAUCCACGGCGGUGGGCUUGGGCGAGCAGCUGAGGCACCUCGAGUUGGUGGUGGGUGGAAGGAGAUCGACGAUUGUUUCAGAUUGAGCAACAUAUUGGCUGUUCGAUCUAGAAUCCGGCAAUACGAGUUUAGGGGUGUGAUGAUGGAUCGAUGUUUUCUUUUGUUGAUGGUCCGAUGGUGGUCAGGGCCCGACUAGUCGGAGGUGGUGCAGCAGGUGCGACCUUGGGCUGAGGGAGGGCAUAGACCCCUCAUUAUCUGGGCUUAUUGGGCCAACAUACAUUGCAUUUGGGUCCCAAGUGGGCUUGUGCUGUUAUUUUUUAUGCUUUCUUUUUCAUUUGUGUUAGUUUUUUUAUUGUUUGAAAUAAGUCCCAUCAAAGUAUGGUAGGCGAUAGUGGGCUUCAUCCUAGUCUACAUACUCAAUGUGCCUCAUCUAGCCUAGUGAGACGUCUAUCUGUUUUAAAAUGGAAGCAACCUCUAAGUGGCAACAUAAAACAGAGUGUUGCAGGAUUAGAUUUUGUGCGGCAACAUAGUAGGAAAGUUGCGUUAUUUGUUAUGAUGCUUAUCAUUAGUAGAGUUAUCUUUUCGUUAUGUCACUGUUUUAUCAAAACAAAUAGAGUUGUCAGUCAAGCACUCUU